rnacentral:lncRNA from 1 species
AGUUGAUUCCUAGAGGUGGAAUCCAUUAAACUGACAAAGCCCCAGUCCCGGGGUCCUAAUAGUCGGGACUAUUAGGUCAUCCUGGGUACUCAGGCCUCUAGACUCUAGACUGAGCUGCCUUGGUCACUCGGGGACAGUUGGCAGAGUAUUCGUGGUCAGGGAGGUGACCCGUGGUCAGCAGGAUCAGGCCACCCAGGGACAAAGGGUGCUUCUGCGCCAGGCCCUGGAGAAGGACAGAGCGGUGGGGACUCGGGGUCGGCCGCAGAUAGGGGAGUCACCACCUGCCGGGUAAGAGGGGAUUCAUCACAGGGGCCGAGGCAGGACGAGCGCCUCCUCCCAGCUCAGGCCGGGUCCCAGGCUGGACUCCUCCCUGUCCCCCAGGGCCGGCCUCCUUCAGAGCUGGCUCGGGACAAGCCUGGGAUGGAAAGGGGAAGUAGAAAGAGCUCAGGGCACAGGGAUUGGGGCCGAUCCUGGGGUCUGAGCUGUGGGGUGAGGAGGGGAUCGCCUGUCCCCUGGGGAGUGACGAUGUCACCCAGCCGUGGCCGAUGCUGGAGGUCAUGAUCUGAACCUUGACAGCAAUCAGCCAUGACUGCCUUUGCACUGUCCAUGCUCUCAGCCCACCACCUCCUCCCCCUGCCAUUGCAGUGGCUAACACUGGAGACGAAGACCAAGACACCACCGCCUUUCUCCAGUACCACUCAAAUCAGCACAGGCAAGGACAAAGGCCUCAAUCCACAACUGCUGAAGAUGGACCCUGGCCACAUGGGAUGGUCAGACACGCCUGCCCAGCUAUCUGCAGGCGAAGAGGCUCAGAAGAGGUUUAGGGGCCUGAAGGACAUCUUGCUUCCAUGUCCAUAUGAGCAGGCUAUUUCUGCUCCAUGAGUCAAUUUUGCCAUAUAAAAUACUUAAUUUCAGCCAUUCCAGGGUGCUGUAGGAUGCACAGCUUCCCAUCAGCCCACCUGAACUCCAGCCAUGCCAUUUUAAUACCAGGAAUAAGGUCACCUGCUUUCCUGCCCCUUAGGAGGCCAGAGCCGUGGAAGCAAAAUGGCACUUCUGUUUACCUGUUAUAUUAUUUUUUUGUCAUCCUUAUAUGCUUGGAAAAUGCAAUUAUAUGAAAAAAGUUUAGUAAUUACAGACAUAACAGCAGAAAGUCCUCGGAACCAAGCUUACUCUCAUGGCCGAUUCUGCUCCACCUGGGACUCUGCUGUGCUGCGGGCAUCCUGUGGUCAGAAUCGCAGAGGGGCCAUCAGGGAGGGCCUUCCCAGAGGAUGGACCUCACGUGACUGCUGCGUGGGCAAGUGGCACUGGCCACUCUGCCUGGAGAGAGGAGUAAAUGCAGGGCUGGCCAGGCGACCUGCACACUCUGCUACUGGCCUUGUCCAUCUUUAGCCUCUAAUUUGAAAAUGAGGCUCACACAGACCAAGAGUAUCUUUGAGGGUUAGUACAGACCACAGAAAUGCCCUGGGCCUUUCACUCUCUCCUUUUGCAAAUUCCCAUGUGUGGAAAUGCCGUUUGGAUAAUGAGGGAGCCUGAAGGAGGUGGACACAUGAGCAGCCCCGACAGGCCUGGCUCCAUCCUCUGAAAAUGGGGCCCCGUGCCCGGCGUGUGGCCUUACUGGUUCAGUCUUCUUUACAGUGGUAGGUUUUGAGUGCCCAGAUGCCCAGUGCCUCCUACCUGGAACAGCACAGGAUCUGGCAGACCCCUGGAAGAAUCACAUGCACACUUAAAUAUUCAGGGAGUUCCCACCCAGCAGAGCUCGCCUCUGUGGCUACCUUGGUCUUGCUGCUGAUAUCUGCCAGAAAAGGCCUGGACUUGGAGACAAGCCUGGGAUUUACACUCAGUCCUUCCCCAUCUGGCUGGUUCCAUUUCCUUGGCUCUCACUGCUGGAAGUCUGUGCUCCUGAACAUCAAGUCAGAGGGGGCAUCUGAAUGCAGGGCAGGGAGCCUCAGAUGGGAAGAAGUCAGAGGAACCAGAAUGUGUCAGAAAAUGCCAAGUCAUGUGCCUGAGCUCAAAAGUCAGCUGGGCCACAGGCUGGCUGUGUGAUCUUGGGCAAGUUCAACCAGCUUCUUUAUACCUCUUUUCUUGCCUCAAAAUGAUAAGAGAAACCACUUCACUAAUACACUGAGGGCUGCUAUUAAGUUCUAUGUACAAAGACCCAUGGCAGGCCCUAUGCCCUUCGGUGAGCACUACUCCUCCUUACAAUUUACUGCCAGGAACACUGGGCAAGAGAACUUCAGUGGAGCAGGGAUUGGCUGAGCAUGAGCCAGGGUUGGGGGAAGUAAAUAAUGGGCUGUUGCCAGGGCCUGAGCCCAACAGAGAAAGGCUGUGUGCAGAGGGAGGGCCUCAGGUCCUGGGGCUCCUCCUGGCCUCUUUCGUCCCGACUACUUCACACCCUCCUCUAACAACGACUCCCACCUCCUUUUCCAGCUCUCCUUGAUCCUGCUCAGGGUGGCGCCUGCUGUCCCUGGUCCCUUGGUCCCCACCUGCCUCAGUGCCCCCCAGUCACAUCUGCUGUUUCUGCCAUGGGUCAGCAGACAGGGUAGGGGUGACUGGUGGUGCAGAAGAAACCAUCUGAGAGGGGGACCCCAACACGGACAGGGCACAGACGGGGCUUCCACCAAUCUCAGUGGAUGAAGAUUCUGUCCCUGCCAUCCCCGCAUUCUCUCCCUGGUCUCAGAGGCCCUCCUGGGUCUCCAGUUGUCCUCUCUCCCACCUCCACACUUUCUUGUUCCAGUCCUGCUCUUGGAUUUCUUUAAUAAUUUUCCUACCUCCAAGAUCCCCUGAUGAUCAGUUUCUGCCUGGGGUCACCAGGCGACUGACCAUGGUGGGGAUGGUGACUUGAGACUCCUGGACCACAGUGCAGGUGACAUAUGCAACCUACAGAGUGAAAAGGAACAGUGUCACUGCUGGGUCAUUUUGAAGAUGAGGCUUAGGUAAUGGAUUAAAGACUUAAAUGUUAGACCUAAAACCAUAAAAACCCUAGAAGAAAACCUAGGCAAUACCAUUCAGGCCAUAGGCAUGGGCGAGGACUUCAUGACUAAAACACCAAAAGCAAUGGCAACA